rnacentral:rRNA from 1 species
CAGGACGAACGCUGCGGCGUGCCUAACACAUGCAAGUCGAACGGAGUGAUAGAAGCUGCGUCUGGAACUUAGUGGCGGACGGGUGAGUAACACGUGAGUAACCUGCCUUCAGAGGGGGAUAAUGUCUGGAAACGGACACUAAUACCGCAUGACAUAUUGAUACCGCAUGAUAUUGAUAUCAAAGGAGCAAUCCGCUGAAAGAUGGACUCGCGUCUGAUUAGCCAGUUGGCGGGGUAACGGCCCACCAAAGCGACGAUCAGUAGCCGGACUGAGAGGUUGAACGGCCACAUUGGGACUGAGACACGGCCCAGACUCCUACGGGAGGCAGCAGUGGGGGAUAUUGCACAAUGGGCGCAAGCCUGAUGCAGCAAACCGCCGCGUGCAGGAAGACGGUCUUCGGAUUGUAAACUGUUGUCCUCUGUGACGAUAAUGACGGUAGCAGAGGAGGAAGCCACGGCUAACUACGUGCCAGCCGCUGC